rnacentral:rRNA from 1 species
GACGAACGCUGGCGGCGUGCUUAACACAUGCAAGUCGAACGGUGACGGAGAGCUUGCUCUCCUGAUCAGUGGCGAACGGGUGAGUAACACGUGGGCAACCUGCCCAGACUUCGGGAUAACGCUUCGAAAGAGGUGCUAAUACCGAAUACGAACCUCCUGGCAUCUGGGAGGUUGGAAAGUUUUUCGGUCUGGGAUGGGCCCGCGGCCUAUCAGCUUGUUGGUGAGGUAACGGCUCACCAAGGCGACGACGGGUAGCCGGCCUGAGAGGGCGACCGGCCACACUGGGACUGAGACACGGCCCAGACUCCUACGGGAGGCAGCAGUGGGGAAUAUUGCGCAAUGGGCGAAAGCCUGACGCAGCAA